rnacentral:rRNA from 1 species
GACGAACGCUGGCGGCGUGCCUAAUACAUGCAAGUCGACCUUAGUGCCGAACGGGUGAGUAACACGUGGGUAACCUGCCCAUCAGAAGGGGAUAACACUAGGAAACAGGUGCUACUCCCGUAUACUGAUGGAUGGACCCGCGGUGCAUUAGCUAGUUGGUGAGGUAACGGCUCACCAAGGCCACGAUGCAUAGCCGAACUGGUAGGGGGAUCGGCAACAUUGGGACUUAGACACGGCACAAACUGCGACGGGAGGCAGCAGUAGGUACUCUUCGGCAAUGGAAGAAAGUCUGACCGAGCAACGCCGCGGGAGUGAAGAAGGUUUUCGGAUCGUAAAACUCUGGUGUUAGAGAAGCGGUAUCUAACCAGAAGGCCACGGCUAACUACGUGCCAGCAGCCGCGGUAAUAC